rnacentral:pre_miRNA from 1 species
GUACUUUUGUGUGGAUGGUAUUCAGCACCAAGGACAGGUGUGUGUGUGUGCAUUUAGAUGGUGUUCAGCACCAAAGACAGGAAGAUUCAGUU